rnacentral:rRNA from 1 species
UACGUAGGGGGCAAGCGUUGUCCGGAAUCAUUGGGCGUAAAGCGCGCGUAGGCGGCCCUGUAAGUCCGUUGUGAAAGUCAAAGGCUCAACCUUUGAAAGCCGAUGGAUACUGCAGGGCUAGAGUCCGGAAGAGGCGAGUGGAAUUCCUGGUGUAGCGGUGAAAUGCGCAGAUAUCAGGAGGAACACCGAUGGCGAAGGCAGGUCUCUGGGCCAUAACUGACGCUGAGAAGCGAAAGCAUGGGGAGCGAACAGG